CGAAGUGGCUCAAUGGUAGAGCAACGGUUUUGUAAACCGUAGGUUGUAGGUUCGAUUCCUAUUGCCG
rnacentral:tRNA from 1 species